rnacentral:tRNA from 1 species
GCCGGCUUGGCGCAAUUGGUAGCGCAUCCGACUUGUAAUCGGAAGGUUGCGGGUUCAAGUCCCGCAGCCGGCU